UAAAAUCCGUAGAACACCGGUCCUCCAGGACUGAGUUUGGACACCCCUGGACUAGACAGAGGAAACGCUUAGAAAUGUUACAGGGUAUAACCAACAAGACUCAGCAUAGUGUGAGUCAAAUAGAGCCGUAUAUAUAGUCUGUGUAAUCAGUCCUUGAGCAGCUCCCAGCUCAGUUGUGUGUGUGUGUAAUCAAUGGAAAACCGGAACAGGUGUGUGCGAGGUGCAUGACCAGAUUUGUAGUUCUUUUGGUUACGGAUUUGUAGUUCUCCAGCGAUCUGUAUGGACUAGAUUCCUGGUGAUUGUGACACCAUCACUUUUGCUCAUUGAUAAAACUCAUUAGAUAAAAAAAAUAAUUAUAAUAAUAAUUCAGUAUCAGAGCUUGAUACUGCAGAUGUUCAGUGACAUUUUUAAAUGUGAACAGGAAGCAGACUGAAAAAAAUGACAAGGCUCAUGAUUGCGUGACGAUUUUCAAUAUGAUUCUGCUCAGACAUUCUGGAUGCACUUUGCAUGUUUCACCCAAUAAUAUAGCACACUGACUUUAGCUUAUAGACAGAUGUCUCGUACAACAUGUUCUGAUGCUUUAAUUUUAAUAAAUGCAUUAAUAUCAUAUACACAUCACACCCUUUUUAAAUACCUUACAACGAUUAGUUUAGUAAAACAUAAAGAAAUAGUAGUCUUUCAAAAGACAAAAGUCCAUAUGAUGUUUUUUUUGGAGUUUCAACAGCAAAGCUCACCCCAAAAGCUUCACAAAAGGACACACAAACAUCAAAGUCCACUCCAAAAGCUUCAUCCAGAGAACCAAAAACAAAUGAGUCAAGUUCCUUAACGACCCCGAGACAUGCAACGACUGCUGCAAAAACCUCACAAGCAGACAAAGAAACAUCAACAGUUACUGUUAUUUCAACCACUGAAACCUCUAUGUGCAUCACAUCUGAUCCAACAUUUCCGUCCAAUUUAAAAGCUUCAUCAAAACAACCCAAAACAAAUCCAAAGCCAAAUCUGUCAACCAGCACAA